GUUAGGACACCCUAUUGAAUUCCAUGGUUUUCCGUAUCAGGACAUAAUAAAAAAUCAUCUGGUCCUUGGCAGAUUUUACAAUUUGGAAAAAUUUGGCCCAUUCUUCUUUACAAUGUUGCUCCAGUUUAUUGAGGUUUGUGGGCAUUUGUCUAUGCACAGCUCUCGCCACAGUGUUUCAGUCGGGAUGAGGUCUGGACUUUGACUGGGCCAUUGCAACACCUUGAUUAUUUUCUUUUUCAGCCAUUCUGUUGUAGAUUUGCUGAUCACCUUGAGAUCAUUGUCCAGUUGCAUGACCCACUUUAGCUUUUGGACAGAUGGCCUCACAUUUGACUCUAAAAUACUUUGGUUUACAGAGGAGUUCAUGGUCGACUCAAUGACUGUAGAUGUCCAAGGCCAAAAUCAUCACCCCUUCACCAGGAUGCUUUACUUUUGGUAUGAGGUGUUUGUUCUGAUAUGCUGUGUUUAGUUUUCACCAAACUUGGCGCUGUGCAUUAUGGCCAAACAUCUUCACUUUGGUCUCGUCUGUCCAAAGGACUUUGUUCCAGAAGUCUUGUGGUUUGUUCAGAUGCAACUUUGCAAACCUAAGCCAUGCUGCCAAUUUUUUUUUUUUUUUUUUUUUUUUUUUUGAAGAGAAGAGGCUUUCUCCUGGCAACCCUUCCAAACAUGCCAUACUAUCCCAUCUUUUUCUAACUGUACUGUCAUAGACUUUAUCAUUUAACAUGUUAACUAAGGUCUGUAGAGUCUGAGGUGUAGUUCUUGGGUUGUCUGCAAUUUCUCUGAGCAUUACACGGUCUGAUCUUGGCGUGAAUUUUCUGGGACGUCCACUCCUGGGAAGAUUGGUGUCUGUUCUGAAUGUCUUCCACUUGUGAAAUUGUUUGGAAAUGGCUGUAUAACCCUUCCCAGAUUGAUGGCAGCAACAAUUGCUUCUCUAAGCUCAUUACUGAUGUCUUUCCUCCUUGGCAUUGUGUUAACACACACCUGAAGGCUCUAGAUUAGCAAACUACCAAAACUUCUGCUCACACUUGCUGAUGAUCAGUUAAUCAAAGGCAUUUGAUUAGCAGUACCUGACCGUUACUUACCCACUUAAUUCCUAAGGAAACAAUAAGGGUGUCCUUAGUUUGUCACCCAUGGCUUUUCCAUUUUGGCCUAGUUUUUGUUAAAUAAAUAAUGACUUGGUGUGAUAUGUCAUGUGUUGUUGUUCAUCUGAGGUUUUAUAUUCCAAAUUUUAAGACCUGCUAAGGACCAGAUGAUUUUUUAUUACGUCCUGAUAUGGAAAACCAUGGAAUUCAAUAGGGUGUCCCAACUUUUUCACAUGACUGUAUGUUCCAGUAGGUGAAAGAUUAAAUGGGUUCACUCCUCCCGAAAUUACGUUUAGGAACUUCACUUGAAGCAAUAUACUGAGUUAAAUACAAGUUAUAUACCCCAUGCACCAAUGCACUCAAAAUGUGUUUGUUUUUUUUUUGUUUUUUUCUCCGUAUGUGUUAACUUUGUGGUCAUAGAUAACAAAUAGUUGAACAAAAGUUGACAAAAUUAUCUUUUAGAAGAUUCAUUCAAAACAUUCAAAAAUUACAAUCUCUACUGAGAAAGUGGUCUAAAAAUAUUAAUGACUCAUCUUGCAUUAAUGGGCGUGUCCAGACUAUACCAAUCAUAUCCUUUCUAGAAUGAGAAUGUCCCUCCCCCCUGUUUUGCCUUUGAUUAUCAACAACAAGCAACAAAUCUUUGUUAAUGACUGAUAAACUAAAACCUAUUGGGUAUCUAAACAGGCAUAAGUCCUUUGUUCUGCCCCAACAAAACUGUGUCCAAUCAAACUCUCUUGGUGCAAAUUCAUUUGGCAACUUAGAGGAUUGCAUGAAUUUUAUUUUACAUAAAUAAGUCAGCAUGGUAAUUAGGCUUAAGCUGCAUGUAAAAGAAUUUUACUUAUUUAUUUGAUAAAUAGACUUAAUGAGAAACUUUGAUAUGCAUUUCUAAUUGCCACAGAGCAGAGCUGUGAAAUAUAUUUUGAGGAAAGUUUUGAGAAGAUUAGUAGGCUCUCUACUGAAUGUGUUCAUGCAAUACAGUUUAGUUGCUCUUGUGGCAAAAAAUAUGUAUGGAGAUGGAUUAUUGUAAACCUUAAAAUGGAAACCCGUGGUUUCUGAGAUGAAGCACUCAUGGCCACAGUUUAGACCACUGUUAACUGUGUUUUGGAGAUGACUUGGCCUUGACUUGGCAGAAGAUGUUUUCACCCUCAUUACAUUUUAGACCCAGAUACUGAGAAUCCACUGUGCCAAGUAAUAGUGUUUAGAAAGCGAAUUUUGAUCAAAUGUUACAGCUCUGGCCACAGCUGAAAUGAUGUGAUUCAUAAAACCCUUGGUAGGUUAUUUUACUGCUUUCAUUAACAUGUGAAAUCACACUGUAAAUCACAAGGUUUUAUGAAAAUUUUAUGUUUGUUUAGCAUUUCAUUCCCCAUUGGCUGCAUGUCAUAAUAUCUGAAAUCAUGUGGAACAGCUCCAUGAGCCGCAGUGGAUUGGAUGCAAGAUUAAACCUCAAGGACUUCUGGACUAUCUCAUUUUUUAAAAGGCACACUUGAGCAAUGAGGAUGGUGUGACAGUUGACAGCCUCACAAUGCGAUGGACAUCAUUUACAGUAAUCCAGGGAAAUUUUUGAAUGCAGUCACAAGUCAUUUUGACAGCUCUAGGUAAGGAACAAUGGCGCAGCACCGGAUGUAAAUAUGCACCCUGAGGAAAAAUGCGGAAGUGAUCAUGCAUAGAGUUCAUUCAGAGAGAAAUAAAAUGCACGUAAAUUUAAAGGCAAAGCACAAUUCACAAGCGCAUUUUGAACCGUGGAUGUCAUACCGAAUGGUUCAAUAUUAAAUUGAGAAUUGUAUCCCUAGCAUAAGCUACAAUGCAUAACAUGACUUUGCCUCAACAUAUCAGGUGAUUGGAUAACUGAACUAACCAGUGGACCAAUCUCAUUGCACACCAUCUAAAAAUAUAGUUUUAGUCAUUUUGAAAUGCCUAAGCCAAAGUCUGUCAUCAAAAUGAUUUGGAAUCAUCAAAUGAAUCAAGAGUUCUAGAGAAUGAUUUUUUUGUUCUUAUUCAUUUUAAUUUUGAUAUUCUCAUGAUAGCUGUAUGAGAUGUGUAAAUAAAACUGUACCUACUGCAGGGUCAUGAAGAUCAAUAACCCACCUGUAUCCACUAACACAUAUACAUGCCAUUUGUAACUCUUAGGCCCGGUUUCACGGACAGGGCUUAGACUAAGCCAGGAUUAGGCCUUAGUUUAAUUAGGGCAUUUACGUAUCUUUUAUAAACGAACCCUAGAAAAAAACAUUACUGGUGUGCAUCUUGAGACAAAACAAUGACACUGACAUAUUUUAAGAUAUGUCAGAGCAAGUUGCUUUUAGUUAAAAAAGCUCAAACAUGCAUUUUAGUCUAGGACUAGCUUAAGCCUUGUCUGUGAAACCGGGGGUUAGGGUUUACAGCACCAUUGGUCACUAUCCUGUAUGUUAAAAUGUGACAAUGAAUCAUAAGUAGAAGCUUAUAUCAGCUCAUGUUGCACUGUGUGAAUGCAUUGUUCUGUCCUAGUGAUUUGACUCAACCUUGAAGGAAAAGGAUAUCGCCUAUGUUUGUCUUUGCAGGGGCUGUUUAGGAAUGUGGUAGACAUAUGACAUUGCCAAAGGAACUUUUCUCCUGAAAAAUUCGUCAGCCUUCCAGAUGAGAAGUGUCCUCGCAGAAUGUAUGACUCACCUCUAGUUGCUUACGAAUGAGAACUGAGUGUGUCACAGAUAUUGUCUUUAACCACAUUUGCGUAAAGAACUGAACACCAAGUUUAGACGUUGCUAGAAUUAUCUGUACUGUUAAGCUAUCAGAGCCUGUAGAAAUGACGUCAACUUUUCUUCCAUAUGCCUAUAAGUCCUGAUUAUUGUGUGUCCUAGUGUUAGUUUCCGGCUGGAUCCAUUUACUCAUUUUCUAUGGCCUUUUUUAUGCCCUAUAAACUCUGUCAACUAAUUGAACUUCAAA